GACGAACGCUGGUGGCGUGCUUAACACAUGCAAGUCGAACAGUGGCGAACGGGUGAGUAACACGUGAGUAACCUGCCCUCCACGUUGGGAUAACUCCGAGAAAUCGGGGCUAAUACUGGAUAGUGGGGGAUGGGCUCGCGGCCUAUCAGUUUGUUGGUGAGGUAGUGGUCACCAAGGCGUGACGGGUAGCCGGCCUGAGAGGGCGACCGGCCACACUGGGCCUGAGAGAGGGCCCAGACUCGUACGGGGGGCAGUAGGGGGGAAUAUUGCACAAUGGGCGAAAGCCUGAUGCAGAGGCCCUGGGUGGGGGAUGCCGGCCUUCGGGUUGUAAACCUCUUUCAGCAAGGAAGCGGUACUUGCAGAAGAAGCGCCGGCUAACUACGUGCCAGCAGCCGCGGUAAUUC
rnacentral:rRNA from 1 species